UCCGAUCUCUAAGUCCUAAGGCCUCACCUGAUAGUUAUUAUUGACCUUAUUUCUUAGUUAAGUCAGACCCACUAUCACCAACAGGUGUAAUAGCCAUCAUUGGAUCCCUUACCUGACAGUUAUUGGAUCCAACCUCAUCUUUACCCUGGAGCAUCUCUUGCUAUAGAGUGGUUGCGUCUUCCUUGAUGCAACUAACCACUGUGACUAAUCAAAAAUAGUCAACACUCGGAAGAUCCA
rnacentral:lncRNA from 1 species